rnacentral:rRNA from 1 species
GACGAACGCUGGCGGCGUGCUUAACACAUGCAAGUCGAACGGAAAGGCGCUGCUCUUGUGGGGUGCUCGAGCGGCGAACGGGUGAGUAACACGUGAGUAUCAUGCCCUUGACUUUGGGAUAACUUCAGGAAACUGGGGAUCAUACCGGAUAGGAGAUCCUGCUGCAUGGUGGGGGUUGGUAAGUUUCGGCGGUUGGGGCUAGUCUGGCGGGUUAUGGGCUUGAUUGUGGGGUAGUGGCUUACCACGGCUUUGAAGGAUAGGCGGCAUGAGAGGGUGACCGGCCACAUUGGGACUGAGAUACGGCCCAGACUCGUACGGGAGGCAACGGUGGGGAGUCUUGCGGAGUGGGCGGGAGCCUGAGGCAGCAACGCCGCGUGCGGGAUGCCGGCCUUCGGGUUGUAAACCGCUUUCGCCUGAGACGAAGCGUGAGUGACGGUAAUGGGUAAAGAAGCACCGGCUAACUACGUG